UACGUAGGGGGGCAAGCGUUGUCCGGAUUUAUUGGGCGUAAAGAGCGUGUAGGCGGCUAGAUAGGUCCGUUGUGAAAACUCGAGGCUCAACCUCGAGACGUCGAUGGAAACCAUCUGGCUAGAGUCCGGAAGAGGAGAGUGGAAUUCCUGGUGUAGCGGUGAAAUGCGCAGAUAUCAGGAAGAACACCCGUGGCGAAGGCGGCUCUCUGGUACGUGACUGACGCUGAGACGCGAAAGCGUGGGGAGCAACAGG
rnacentral:rRNA from 1 species